rnacentral:rRNA from 1 species
UACGUAGGGACCGAGCGUUGUCCGGAAUCAUUGGGCGUAAAGAGCGUGUAGGCGGCUUGCUAAGUCUUGCGUGAAAUCUCGGGGCUCAACCCCGAGCGGUCGUGGGAAACUGGCAGGCUAGAGUGCGGGAGAGGAGAAUGGAAUUCCUGGUGUAGCGGUGAAAUGCGCAGAUAUCAGGAGGAACACCAAUGGCGAAGGCAGAUCUCUGGGCCGUAACUGACGCUGAGGAGCGAAAGCAUGGGGAGCGAACAGG